UACGAAGGGGGCUAGCGUUGCUCGGAAUCACUGGGCGUAAAGCGCACGUAGGCGGAUUGUUAAGUCAGGGGGUGAAAUCCUGGAGCUCAACUCCAGAACUGCCUUUGAUACUGGCGAUCUUGAGUCCGGGAGAGGUGAGUGGAACUGCGAGUGUAGAGGUGAAAUUCGUAGAUAUUCGCAAGAACACCAGUGGCGAAGGCGGCUCACUGGCCCGGUACUGACGCUGAGGUGCGAAAAGCGUGGGUAGCAAACGAG
rnacentral:rRNA from 1 species